AACGAACGCUGGCGGCAGGCUUAACACAUGCAAGUCGAGCGCCCCGCAAGGGGAGCGGCAGACGGGUGAGUAACGCGUGGGAAUCUACCCAUCUCUACGGAAUAACGCAUGGAAACGUGUGCUAAUACCGUAUACGGACUUCGGGAGAAAGAGUUAUCGGAGAUGGAUGAGCCCGCGUUGGAUUAGUGAGUUGGUGGGGUAAAGGCCUACCAAGGCGACGAGCCAUAGCUGGUCGGAGAGGAUGAUCAGCAACACUGGGGCUGAGACACGGCACAGAAUCCUACGGGAGGCAGCAGUAGGUAAAAGUGGACCAUGGAGGCAAGCAUGCAGCGGCCCUGCCGGGUGAGCUAUGAAGGCCGUGAGGUUGUAAAGCUCUUUCACCGGUGAAGAUAAUGACGGUAACCGGAGAAGAAGCCCCGGCUAACUUCGUGCCAGCCGCCGCGGUAACAC
rnacentral:rRNA from 1 species